UAGGGAAUCUUCCACAAUGGACGCAAGUCUGAUGGAGCAACGCCGCGUGAGUGAAGAAGGUUUUCGGAUCGUAAAGCUCUGUUGUUGGUGAAGAAGGAUAGAGGCAGUAACUGGUCUUUAUUUGACGGUAAUCAACCAGAAAGUCACGGCUAACUACGUGCCAGCAGCCGCGGUAAUACGUAGGUGGCAAGCGUUGUCCGGAUUUAUUGGGCGUAAAGCGAGCGCAGGCGGAAUGAUAAGUCUGAUGUGAAAGCCCACGGCUCAACCGUGGAACUGCAUCGGAAACUGUCAUUCUUGAGUGCAGAAGAGGAGAGUGGAAUUCCAUGUGUAGCGGUGGAAUGCGUAGAUAUAUGGAAGAACACCAGUGGCGAAGGCGGCUCUCUGGUCUGCAACUGACGCUGAGGCUCCAAAGCAUGGGUAGCGAACAGG
rnacentral:rRNA from 1 species